GGUGGCUCAGUGGUAGAGUGCUUGCCUUGCAUGCAUGAGGCCCUGAGUUUGAUUCCUUGGCACCA
rnacentral:tRNA from 1 species